CAGCCGCCACGGGAAUACGAAGGGGGCUAGCGUUGUUCGGAAUUACUGGGCGUAAAGCGCACGUAGGUAGAAAUUUAAGUCAGGGGUGAAAUCCCGAGGCUCAACCUCGGAACUGCCUUUGAUACUGGGUUUCUUGAGUCCGGAAGAGGUGAGUGGAACUGCGAGUGUAGAGGUGAAAUUCGUAGAUAUUCGCAAGAACACCAGUGGCGAAGGCGGCUCACUGGUCCGGAACUGACGCUGAGGAGCGAAAGCGUGGGGGGCGAACAGGAUUAGAGACCCGCGUAGUCCCUGUCUCUUAUAC
rnacentral:rRNA from 1 species